CUCGAUCAACUUAAAUAUAAAAUUUUUAAUUGAAGUUUUAUAUAUCCCAUAUAGUUUCCAAUAGAUAUAAAUAAGAUCUAUUAUUUAGAUCUAAAGAUAAUAAUUAAAAUUGUUAAUGAUUCUAUCAAGAUAAAUACUCCGUGAUCUCAAAAUAAAAUUAAUUUUUUUCAUUAGAAAUAGAUUUAUUUACAAUAUUCCCAAAUAUACUUUCCUCCCAUAUGUCAAUUUAUAUAUGAUCUAUAUAUUCCAGUAUAAACAUUAAAAAAUAUAUCAAUCAAACAUCAUAAAAGAUCUUCUUAGUUCAACCUGAAAUAAUAUUUUAUGAAUAAAUUUUUAUCUUGCCACUAAAUAAUUAAUUUCAAAAUUAAGAGCAACAUUAUAAUAUUCUUUCAUAUUAAAAUUGAGCUUGCAAUUCAUUUAAACUAUUAAUGAUCAAAUUAAUAAUUAUAAUACAAAUAAAUUUUUAUGAUUAAUCUUCUUGUCAUUACUUGAGAUCAAAAUCCAACUAGUCAUAGCAUGAUCAAUGAAUUGUCUAUCAUAUAUUAAGCCCUCUGAAUCAUUAUUCCUG
rnacentral:lncRNA from 1 species